AGAGCAAGUGGGUAACCUGUGGGCUGCUUACAUUGCAAACAAAAGCCAGCUUGUCUUGGGAUCAUUGAGAGGAGAAAGUUAAUUUUUACACCGGUAUCGAUGGCUGGAAGGACCUGAAUAUAAAACUCUGAGAGGAAAGGCCAACACCAGCCCACCCAUCAACCCACUCCCCUCGUCUGAAAAACAAAAACAACAGAUGGGCUGUGCCAAGGAGACUGUGACUGCUCCUGGCCAUUACCACACUGUGUAGACAGUGAGUGGGAUGUUUUUCUUCCAGCCCUGAGGUUACCUUGGCAACCCAGGAGAAAGAAACGUGAUCGAAGGCUGUGCAAACGGAGGUGUAGGCCGAGUCAUGUCUUUUACAAGCUGCAGGGUCCAUCUCUGAGCCAGCCGGCCCAGUCAGCCAUCCAGCCAGCCAUAUGUCAGGAGACAUGGGCACCAGCCAAUAGUCCUUUCCAGUCAGGGCUUUCAAACCGAGACCUGCCACUGCUCAGGUCCUCCUCAGACAGACUGUCAGCGGGUGCAGCUACAGAGAAAGUUAAUGUGAAGCAUCAAAUCUCAGGAGGACCCUGCUGGCUUCAUACACUAUGACAAAUCCUACGCCCCCAUGGCUCUCUGGUUUAACAACUCUGAUGUUAUUUAACUUUAAUUCAAAGCCAUAAGUAGAGAAUAAUUUCUUAUUAAAGACAGGGUCAUUCAUGUGUCUUUAAUAUCAUAUUAUAUAUUUGAAAGAUAUAAGAUGACCACCAUUCCAACACCUGUUUUUGGAAAAAGACUAUCAAGCAGCUGUUAUUAUUUUUCAUACUGACUGUUUGAGCUCCUCAUCACGGCAUUCAGUGACAGCUGAAAUUCUCGUUUCCUUAAAAUGGGCUUCACAAACACUUACAGGACUGACUAAGCAGGAAUUCAGACUGAAAGUUAAAACAGUGCCGGGGAGCUGUGUUGGUGUGGAGCAUGUUGUUUAAGGUAUGAAUAAGACGAUACAAUUUGAUCCAGUUAGAAUAACAGAUUAUGUGGCGUAACUGUAAGACUACAUCCUACAUUUUCAAUUUCCGUCCACACCAGCGUUUUAGCUACGUAUCAGAAUUGAUCUCCAUCUGUGCUAAAACGACUGAAUAUGCACAUGAGAUGAACAUUCAUACAAAUCACGUGACCACUAACGUACACUGGGAAUACAUGUGUUGGUAUAAACAGGAAGCAGAUUGUUUACCCGCAGAGCAUUUGACGAUAGAAAAGCUGGUAGCAGAGACAUCAUGUUAGGAUUUGGUUUUUGUACUGUUGUUUUUCCGGUGUUUAUUUGAUAUUGUCUUGGUUUGGAGUUUUGUAAUCUAGUUUAUUAUUUUGGUUCUUUCGUUUUUAGUUUCUUAGUCACUGUCUUGUCUCUCAUCUUAGUUCUUCUUCCUGCACCUUGGUUCUUGUUUUUACUUCAGGUUCCUUGUCUACAUUAUUUUGGGUCUAGUCUCCUUUGUACUUUAGCUCUGUGUUCUCCUUUUGAGUUCUUGUUCAUUGUACAUGUGUGUUUCUGUCUUAUUGGUUAUUCUCUCUGCCCCAUGUCUGCUUGUCUAGUAUUCAGUAACCUUGCCUUGUCUGUUACUCCAGUGAUCCCUCUGCAUGUCUGUCUUUGUUUUCCCCUUCUCUCUCUCUGCCUGUGUGUCGCUCUCUCUCUCUCUCUCUCUGCCUCUCUCUCUGCCUGCCUGCCUGUCCCUCGUUAACCCUGAUCUCUGUCACCUGUGUUGCUCCCGCCCUGCUCGUUACUCCCUGUGUGUAUAUAUACCUGGUGUUUCUGUCUUGUCUUUCAUUACUUUCUAUGUGUGUUAUGAUCCCUCGUUGUAGGCCUACGCGUCGUGUUUCCCUGCACCAAUGGAUUUCUGUUUGGACAGCUUUUGUGUUUCUGGACUUUGUCAUCAGCCACUCAGUUUGUGGUCCAGGCUGAUUUAUGUUUACUUCUGGAGAGGGGUCAUGUCAUGACGAAUCAUGGAUAUGCCAUGACUGAUAUUACCAAAUUAGGAAGCCAAAUGUUUGAGAAGCUCCACAAGCGGCAGCAAUGUUAGCGGUGCCUGCCGGUCACGCCCACAGAGCCCUCUGGUCCCAGUUACACAGAGCAGUAACAACAGGAGAGGCCACAACUGCAAGAUAGUUUCCAUGUUCUGUCUCUAAAAUCUGAGAAAUGGAUUAUUUUAAAGUAACUCAAGAAACAUCUGGCUCAUGAUGUAGCCUACAGAACAUUCUCUGCUCAUAAACUUAUAAACACUUUGGGGAAAAAAAAUUUAAAAAACAGAAGUAUUAGGAAAGUGGAUUGUUGCUUUAUUCUGAAUAGACAUUAAAUUGUUGUUGUACAAUUAUA